AGAGUUUGAUCCUGGCUCAGGAUGAACGCUAGCGACAGGCCUAACACAUGCAAGUCGAGGGGCAGCGGGGAGGUAGCAAUACCUUUGCCGGCGACCGGCGCACGGGUGAGUAACACGUAUGCAAUCCACCUGUAACAGGGGGAUAACCCGGAGAAAUCCGGACUAAUACCCCAUAAUAUGGGCGCUCCGCAUGGAGAGUCCAUUAAAGAGAGCAAUCUUGGUUACAGACGAGCAUGCGCUCCAUUAGCCAGUUGGCGGGGUAACGGCCCACCAAGGCGACGAUGGAUAGGGGUUCUGAGAGGAAGGUCCCCCACAUUGGAACUGAGACACGGUCCAAACUCCUACGGGAGGCAGCAGUGAGGAAUAUUGGUCAAUGGUCGGCAGACUGAACCAGCCAAGUCGCGUGAGGGAAGACGGCCCUACGGGUUGUAAACCUCUUUUGUCGGAGAGUAAAGUACGCUACGUGUAGUGUAUUGCAAGUAUCCGAAGAAAAAGCAUCGGCUAACUCCGUGCCAGCAGCCGCGGUAAUACGGAGGAUGCGAGCGUUAUCCGGAUUUAUUGGGUUUAAAGGGUGCGUAGGCGGCACGCCAAGUCAGCGGUGAAAUUUCCGGGCUCAACCCGGACUGUGCCGUUGAAACUGGCGAGCUAGAGUGCACAAGAGGCAGGCGGAAUGCGUGGUGUAGCGGUGAAAUGCAUAGAUAUCACGCAGAACCCCGAUUGCGAAGGCAGCCUGCUAGGGUGCGACAGACGCUGAGGCACGAAAGCGUGGGUAUCGAACAGGAUUAGAUACCCUGGUAGUCCACGCAGUAAACGAUGAAUACUAACUGUUCGGAGGGCGACCUCUGAGUGGUAAAGCGAAAGCGUUAAGUAUUCCACCUGGGGAGUACGCCGGCAACGGUGAAACUCAAAGGAAUUGACGGGGGCCCGCACAAGCGGAGGAACAUGUGGUUUAAUUCGAUGAUACGCGAGGAACCUUACCCGGGCUUGAACUGCACCCGAAUUUACCGGAGACGGUAAAGCCGCAAGGCGGGUGUGGAGGUGCUGCAUGGUUGUCGUCAGCUCGUGCCGUGAGGUGUCGGCUUAAGUGCCAUAACGAGCGCAACCCCUAUCGACAGUUACUAACGGGUGAAGCCGAGGACUCUGUCGAGACUGCCGGCGCAAGCCGCGAGGAAGGUGGGGAUGACGUCAAAUCAGCACGGCCCUUACGUCCGGGGCGACACACGUGUUACAAUGGCAGGUACAGAAGGCAGCCAGUCAGCAAUGACGCGCGAAUCCCGAAAACCUGUCUCAGUUCGGAUUGGAGUCUGCAACCCGACUCCAUGAAGCUGGAUUCGCUAGUAAUCGCGCAUCAGCCAUGGCGCGGUGAAUACGUUCCCGGGCCUUGUACACACCGCCCGUCAAGCCAUGGAAGCCGGGAGUACCUGAAGCAUGCAACCGCAAGGAGCGUACGAAGGUAAUACCGGUAACUGGGGCUAAGUCGUAACAAGGUAGCCGUACCGGAAGGUGCGGCUG
rnacentral:rRNA from 1 species